rnacentral:miRNA from 1 species
AAGGUAGUGAAGUAGGCAAUUGGG